CUUUGAUCUGAGGUGGAAAAAGAUUUGACGGUAUGUUAGAAGUUAAGAAAGCAUUCUCAAUACUGAGAACAGAAAUUGAAAAGUAUAAUGAGAUACAGAAACGGCAUAAAGAGGAAAUGAGGACUCAAUAAUUUGGAAAUUCUUUUGGCUUGGUCAACUUCAUGAAAAUGCCAUUUUGCAACAGCUCAGGGCUAAUGGGUCCCUGGUUUGUUGUCAUUCAUUGUGAAGAAAUAAGGACUUGGAACUGGAGGGGAUUAUGCUAAGUGAAAUAAGUCAA